GCAAAAGCAAAGACAAUUCUUUCAAGGAGCAAUAAGACCUGGAAAUAAUGCCACUGAAGCAACUUAUAAAGUAACUUAUAUACUUGGGGGAAAGGGGAAGCUAUUUAAUGAUGCAGAAAUUGUGAAAAAGUGCAUUGUCAAAAUUGUAGGAUGCUUAGACUCCAAUAACAUUUUAAAGUGCAAACAACUGCCUUGAAAGGAUAAUUCUUGAUCCCACAGAGAGCUUGCACACUUUGUUAGUGAGAUGAAAUAUCCAAGGAAUUGACUUUUAAUUAAUGUUAUUGUUCUGAAAGACAGAGUGGCAUAGAUUAGGUUUUCUUUGGUUUUCCACACUUCUCCAAAUGAUCCCAAUAUAGAACCCGCUUCAUGGGGAGAAACAAUGACUGGGCUAUUUUAAGGCUUUCAGCUCCAGGAAGUUUGUCCCAAAUUCAGUAACAGACACUGCACAUUUUUUCCCCCAGGAGAGUGGGAUGAGACAAUCAGUUUAGAGGCCCCAUCCUGCUGCCAAGGAUGUUUGAGUUCCUUCCUGGAUGUACCAUAAAGAGUUAAUAGCUUCAACAAACCUAAAUAAAACCAGCCAAAUCCCAAGAUACAAAACUCAAGUUCUUGCCAUUUUUCUUGUGGGUCUAUAGCUAGAAAAUGAUUCUUAAAGAACAGAAUGGGGAAGAGGAGGACCAAAGAAAUGUCAAUAUCAUACUGAAGUGCCUCUGGAGAAAUGAAGGAGCAAAUUCAAAAUAUAAGUUUCAGGGGGUUGGGAGAAGGAACUGAGUAUUUUACCUUGUAUCUCAAGAGCCGAAUAUAUGUCUAUGCUUUCCACAGAGACACCACAGACCUGAACCACCUUCGUACCCAACAGAGAUAAAUUGAAAAUUGGAGUGGACUUUCUGAGUACUUCCAUAUGAAAAUUCACAGGCCAUUAAAGAAGGAAGAGACUAUGAACAAGACCUACCUUGGACAGUGACCCACCUUUCUUCCUGGAUCCAUUUCUCUAGGCUAAGAUCAAAAGACUGGCAAUAAAGAUUGAGGGGAGAGGCUUCCAGGUCUUUUGACCAGCAAGGUGAAAGAGAGUAACUUCAGAGGUUUAGAAACAUCUCUUCUCUAAUAUCACCAACUGGAGCCCCUACCAGCUGUGCUCCUUCCACUGGUCAUCAAUGCUGAACUGGCUGCAAAAUACAGACUAUGAUGCCUGGAGACUCACUUUCCUAACAUUUUGUAAUUCACAAGGUCAGUCAUCAAUCCCUUCACCUAAAACAGAAAAGAGCAAAUACAGAGACCAAGGACUAAAACCCAUUUCACAGAGUCACAUAUCAGCUGUGAUGGAGAGAAGUUUCAAGAUCUCUUCCAUUAUGGCAUUAUCUCCUCUAGACUCCACCAACAAAGGAAUCAAAUCAAGAGAAAGCAGGAGAAAAAAAAAGACUGAGUCUGUGGUCACUAGUCCUUUGUGGAUUCCUCCACAGCUAGUCAAAGAGCUUCCUAUUCAUCAUGCAGUUAGCUGACCAAAAACCAGUUAUGGAAUGCCUACACAUGCUCCAAAGCAUCUCCAAGGUCUAUAAUAGAAGUCUAUUACGCAUUAUCACUACUGUUCCAGGAGUAGGCUCUCCAGCCUUUCCACGUGAGGGAGAUGCUAUUCAAGGCAUGCCCUGCAUGUGUCAGUCUUUGUUUCAUUAGUAUAUAGUCUUUUGUCUCAAAAAUGUUUUGUUAUGAUCAUUGGAGAACAUUUUUCCCCUUCCUUCCUUCCUUCCUUCCUUCCUUCCUUCCUU